CCUACGGGGGGCAGCAGUGAGGAAUAUUGGUCAAUGGGCGGAAGCCUGAACCAGCCAAGUCGCGUGAGGGAAGAAGGCCCUACGGGUCGUAAACCUCUUUUGCCGGGGAGCAAGGGCGGGGACGUGUCCCGGCCCGGAGAGUACCCGGAGAAAAAGCAGCGGCUAACUCCGUGCCAGCAGCCGCGGUAAUACGGAGGAUGCGAGCUUGAUCGGGAUUUCUUGGGUUGAAAGGGUGCGUAGGGGGGCUUUUAAGUCAGCGGUAAAACUUCGGGGCUCAACCCCGUCCGGCCGUUGAAACUGGGGGCCUUGAGUGGGCGAGAAGCAGGCGGCAUGCGUGGUGUAGCGG
rnacentral:rRNA from 1 species